AUUGAACGCUGGCGGCAGGCCUAACACAUGCAAGUCGAGCGGGGUUUUCGGACCUAGCGGCGGACGGGUGAGUAAUGCGUAGGAAGCUACCCGAUAGAGGGGGAUACCAGUUGGAAACGACUGUUAAUACCGCAUAAGUCUACGGACCAAAGUGUGGGACCUUCGGGCCACAUGCUAUCGGAUGCGCCUACGUGGGAUUAGCUAGUUGGUGAGGUAAUGGCUCACCAAGGCGACGAUCCCUAGCUGGUUUGAGAGGAUGAUCAGCCACACUGGAACCGAGACACGGUCCAGACUCCUACGGGAGGCAGCAGUGGGGAAUAUUGGACAAUGGGCGCAAGCCUGAUCCAGCCAUGCCGCGUGUGUGAAGAAGGCCUUCGGGUUGUAAAGCACUUUCAGUAGGGAGGAAGCGUUGUGUGUUAAUAGUACACAGCGUUGACGUUACCUACAGAAGAAGCACCGGCUAACUCUGUGCCAGCAGCCGCGGUAAGAC
rnacentral:rRNA from 1 species